GUAGCAUGAAUGCUGCCUUGUCUGAGAUUGUGCCAGAUGGAGAUUUGCCAAACCCUGUCAAGGACAGUACAACACGAGAGCAUCGGAAACAAUCUUGCGCACACCUGCAAGCUCAGCAUUGAAGCAGUCCCAAAAGCAGUGCAAAGGCCCACUCACGUCAACAACGACGGUCGCCUCCGAUGGCUUGACUUGACUGGCUCCACUGCUGAUACUCGCUGGUACAUCGAGC